rnacentral:rRNA from 1 species
UACGGAGGGUGCAAGCGUUAAUCGGAAUUACUGGGCGUAAAGCGCACGCAGGCGGUCUGUCAAGUCGGAUGUGAAAUCCCCGGGCUCAACCUGGGAACUGCAUCCGAAACUGGCAGGCUUGAGUCUCGUAGAGGGGGGUAGAAUUCCAGGUGUAGCGGUGAAAUGCGUAGAGAUCUGGAGGAAUACCGGUGGCGAAGGCGGCCCCCUGGACGAAGACUGACGCUCAGGUGCGAAAGCGUGGGGAGCAAACAGG